ACCGCUACUUCUUUUCCUUUGUCUUCUUCUUCUUCUUCAGUGCACGCCUCAUAAAUAAACACGUAUUCACCGCACCGCUGGUGGGACGACAAACGGGCAAGAGAAGUAGCGGGACGGAUGCUCAUGCACGCGAGCUGAAUAAUGCAGGGCUCGCGAGGUCCCGGGAGUGUUUUCUGUCCCGUUCCACAGACAAUCGGAGAGCGAGCCGCCAGCGCGAGCUCCAGCCAAGCACAAUGAGGCCGACCCACGCGGAUCAGUGACCCAGUUCUGCCUCAAGGAGUCAAGUUAUCAUCCUCAGCCUCCUGACACCCACACUCACAUGUCUGGCAACAUGGUGGAUCAGUUGGUCAACCUGUGCAGAGCUCCAGCCGUUCUCCACAGAAGUAGUGGACACACCCCCAGAA